rnacentral:rRNA from 1 species
UACUGAGGAAUAAGCACGCUAAUUCCGUGCAGCAGCGCGUAUACGGGAGUGCAGCGUAUCCGGAAUUAUUGGGCGUAAAGCGUCGCAGGCGGCCCUUCAAGUCUGCUGUAAAACGUGGAGCUUAACUCCAUCGUGGCAGUGGAAACUGUUGGGCUUGAGUGUGGUAGGGGCAGAGGGAAUUCCCGGUGUAGCGGUGAAAUGCGUAGAUAUCGGGAAGAACACCAGUGGCGAAGGCGCUCUGCUGGGCCAUCACUGACGCUCAUGGACGAAAGCCAGGGGAGCGAAAGGGAUUAGAUACCCCUGUAGUCCUGGCCGUAAACGAUGAACACUAGGUGUCGGGGGAAUCGACCCCCUCGGUGUCGUAGCCAACGCGUUAAGUGUUCCGCCUGGGGAGUACGCACGCAAGUGUGAAACUCAAAGGAAUUGACGGGGGCCCGCACAAGCGGUGGAGUAUGUGGUUUAAUUCGAUGCAACGCGAAGAACCUUACCAGGGUUUGACAUCCUGCGAAUCUCUUGGAAACGAGAGAGUGCCUUCGGGAACGCAGUGACAGGUGGUGCAUGGCUGUCGUCAGCUCGUAUCGUGGGAUGUUGGGUUAAGUCCCGCAACGAGCGCAACCCACGUCUUUAGUUGCCAGCAUUUAGUUGGGCACUCUAGAGAGACCGCCGGUGAUAAACCGGAGGAAGGUGUGGAUGACGUCAAGUCAUCAUGCCCCUUACAUCCUGGGCUACACACGUACUACAAUGCUACGGACAAAGGGCAGCAAGUUCGCGAGGACAAGCAAAUCCCAUAAACCGUGGCUCAGUUCAGAUCGUAGGCUGCAACUCGCCUACGUGAAGGCGGAAUCGCUAGUAAUCGCAGGUCAGCAUACUGCGGUGAAUACGUUCCCGGGCCUUGUACACACCGCCCGUCACACCAUGGAAGUUGGCCACGCCCGAAGCCGUUACUCCAACCCUUGUGG